rnacentral:rRNA from 1 species
AUUGAACGCUGGCGGCAGGCUUAACACAUGCAAGUCGAGCGAGCGGCGGACGGGUGAGGAAUGUCUGGGAAACUGCCUGAUGGAGGGGGAUAACUACUGGACACGGUAGCUAAUACCGCAUACCAUCGGAUGUGCCCAGAUGGGAUUAGCUAGUAGUGGGGGUAAAGGCUCACCGAGGCGACGAUCCAUAGCUGGUCUGAGAGGAUGACCAGCCACACUGGAACUGAGACACGGGCCAGACGCCUACGGGAGGGAGCAGUGGGGAAUAUUGCACAAUGGGCGCAAGCCUGAUGCAGCCAUGCCGCUUGUAUGAAGAAGGCCUUCGGGUUGUAAAGUCCUUUCAGCGGGGAGGCGUUACCCGCAGAAGAAGCACCGGCUAACUCCGUGCCAGCAGCCGCGGUAAUUC